UUGCUGGAGCCCGCAAGGUGCACCCAGAAACCCUUUGUGAACUUAUACCUAUUAUCGUUGCCUCGGCGUUGGCUGCCCUUCAGGCUCUUCGGAGGCUUUAGGGGCCCUCUCUUCGGAGGGGACAGCAGGCCCGCCGGCGGCCUACUUAACUCUGUUUUAAUCAAGUAUUAUCUGAGUAAAGCUUCUAAAUGAAUCAAAACUUUCAACAACGGAUCUCUUGGUUCUGGCAUCGAUGAAGAACGCAGCGAAAUGCGAUAAGUAAUGUGAAUUGCAGAAUUCAGUGAAUCAUCGAAUCUUUGAACGCACAUUGCGCCCUCUGGUAUUCCAGAGGGCAUGCCUGUUCGAGCGUCAUUUCAACCCUCAAGCCUAGCUUGGUGUUGGGGCCUUACCUGACUUCUUUUAGAAGGGUAAGCCCUGAAAUUCAGUGGCGAGCUCGCCAGGACUCCGAGCGUAGUAGUAAUAUCUCGUUCUGGAUCGUACUGGCGCGGCCCUGCCAGUAAAACCCCCAACUUCUGAAAAUUUGACCUCGGAUCAGGAGGAAAACCC
rnacentral:rRNA from 1 species